UGGGGAAUAUUGCACAAUGGGCGCAAGCCUGAUGCAGCCAUGCCGCGUGUGUGAAGAAGGCCUUCGGGUUGUAAAGUACUUUCAGUCGGGAGGAAGGUGUCAAGGUUAAUAACCUUGGCAAUUGACGUUACCGACAGAAGAAGCACCGGCUAACUCCGAGCCAGCAGCCGCGGUAAUACGGGGGGUGCAAGCGUUAAUCGGAAUUACUGGGCGUAAAGCGCACGCAGGCGGUUGAUUGAGUCAGAUGUGAAAUCCCCGGGCUUAACCCGGGAAUUGCAUCUGAUACUGGUCAGCUAGAGUCUUGUAGAGGGGGGUAGAAUUCCAUGUGUAGCGGUGAAAUGCGUAGAGAUGUGGAGGAAUACCGGUGGCGAAGGCGGCCCCCUGGACAAAGACUGACGCUCAGGUGCGAAAGCGUGGGGAGCAAACAGG
rnacentral:rRNA from 1 species